UGCGUAGGUGGUUUCUUAAGUCAGAGGUGAAAGGCUACGGCUCAACCGUAGUAAGCCUUUGAAACUGGGAAACUUGAGUGCAGGAGAGGAGAGUGGAAUUCCUAGUGUAGCGGUGAAAUGCGUAGAUAUUAGGAGGAACACCAGUUGCGAAGGCGGCUCUCUGGACUGUAACUGACACUGAGGCACGAAAGCCAGGGGAGCAAACG
rnacentral:rRNA from 1 species